GGAUGUGAAGGUGAUCUGGCUGGCUUCCUCCUGAAGCUGCACACUGGGUGCAGGAGGGCUGACCACCUCCCACAGAGGGGACUGCUCCUCAGUCAAGGGUGUACUCGCAGCUGCACCCCCUGCCAGAACCUCCAAACAAGCUCUCAGAGUAAGUGCCUGCCUCAAAAUAAAAAUAAGUAAAUAUAAAACAAACAAAGGAACAUUUU
rnacentral:sRNA from 1 species